CUGGUACUCCCAGCAGCCCUUUCUCAGCCCAGCACAGGAACUAGUAGCACCAGAGAAGAUCUCCAGGUUUGGAAGCAGACAGUUCAAGCCCCACAGUGUCACUCCGUCUCUUCCUGCUUCACUUCUGGCCUUCCAAACAUCUGCUAUGCUUGAGGAGGUAGGAUGCUGCCCAUGAGACUGGAAACUAAUUAAAGCUCAGCUGCUCCUGACAGGCACUUUGCUGUUCUCUGCUGUCACAGCGCGUUCGUUGUGGUGCUUCAUCCCUAACUGGAUCCCAUUUAACCCAGAGAGCAGAAAAGGUGGUGCCAUGGAAAGGAAUCCAGGGUGGACAGCAAAGAAACUACUUUAUGAACAGUUUGCACUGAAAGGAAGACAGGAAAAUAGGACAAGUGACGCUGGUCCAGCGCCGGUGAAGAUCUGUGCUCCUCUUCCAUGCUGCGUGGUUAUCUGGUACCCAAAGUGGGCAAUCACUCCCACUGAGGAACAAGGCUGCUGCUGCCACUGGAGUGCAACCAGAGAGCGCAUCCGAGCUUGGCUCGCUCCAGACCACAGCGAACUCAUUGGAGUCAUUGACUGCAAUGGAAGCAAGCCUGAGCCUUUCAAGAAGUGCUGUGGAGGAGAUGUGCACACCAACCCAAAUGAAAGGUUAAUUCCAGUCAUCAGGAGAUGUGGUUAAAGCACUUUAGCUGGUAGCCAUGGUUCUGGGCUAUGCUAUUUAUGAGGAGCAUUGACACAGAGCGUUUCAGGAGCUGUGAUUUCUCUGUUUUCUCUUGCUGUUCAAACAUUAGAAUAAAUUAUUCCUCAAGAACCCUAAAUGUAAAUAA